UACGUAGGGACCGAGCGUUGUCCGGAAUCAUUGGGCGUAAAGAGCGUGUAGGCGGCCAACUAAGUCCUGCGUGAAAUCUCGGGGCUCAACCCCGAGCGGUCGUGGGAAACUGGUUGGCUAGAGUGACGGGAGAGGAGAGUGAAUUCUGGUGUAGCGGUGAAAUGCGCAGAUAUCAGGAAGAACACCCGUGGCGAAGGCGGCUCCUCUGGAACGCAACUGACGCUGAGACGCGAAAGCGUGGGGAGCAAACAGG
rnacentral:rRNA from 1 species